GACGAACGCUGGCGGCGUGCUUAACACAUGCAAGUCGAACGGUGAAGCGCCUUCCUUUUUGGUGGGUGUGGAUGAGUGGCGAACGGGUGAGUAACACGUGAGUAACCUGCCCCCUUCUUCUGGAUAACCGCAUGAAAGUGUGGCUAAUACGGGAUAUUCUGGGUCUGUCGCAUGAUGGGUCUGGGAAAGAUUUUGUUUCGGUGGGGGAUGGGCUCGCGGCCUAUCAGCUUGUUGGUGGGGUGAUGGCCUACCAAGGCGGUGACGGGUAGCCGGCCUGAGAGGGUGGACGGUCACACUGGGACUGAGACACGGCCCAGACUCGUACGGGAGGCAGAAGUGGGGAAUAUUGAACAAUGGGAGCAAGCCUGAUGCAGCGACGCCGCGUGAGGGAUGGAGGCCUUCGGGUUGUGAACCUCUUUCGCCAGUGAAGCAGGCCUGCCUCGUUUGUGGGUGGGUUGACGGUAGCUGGAUAAGAAGCGCCGGCUAACUACGUG
rnacentral:rRNA from 1 species